rfam:Prevotella sp. CAG:386 genomic scaffold, scf126
GGGGAUACGCUUAGAGUCCCCUGGGCAGUGUGUGUUAAUAGCAAUCUCCUGUGGCCGGGAAUUGCGGUUAGUGAAUC